AACUAUAAUCAACAAAUAUAU
rnacentral:snRNA from 1 species